rnacentral:rRNA from 1 species
AUUGAACGCUGGCGGAAUGCUUUACACAUGCAAGUCGAACGGCAGCACGGACUUCGGUCUGGUGGCGAGUGGCGAACGGGUGAGUAAUGUAUCGGAACGUGCCCAGUCGUGGGGGAUAACGUGGUGAAAAUUACGCUAAUACUGCAUACGAUCUAUGGAUGAAAGCGGGGGAUCUCAAGACCUCGCGCGAUUGGAGCGGCCGAUAUCAGAUUAGGUAGUUGGUGGGGUAAAGGCCCACCAAGCCAACGAUCUGUACCUGGUCUGAGAGGACGACAAGCCACACUGGAACUGAGACACGGUCCAGACUCCUACGGGAGGCAGCAGUGGGGAAUUUUGGACAAUGGGCGAAAGACUGAUCCAGCCAUUCCGCGUGCAGGAUGAAGGCCCUCGGGUUGUAAACUGCUUUUGUACAGAACGAAAAGGUUUCUACUAAUACUAGGAGCUCAUGACGGUACUGUAAAAAUAAGCACCGGCUAACUACGUGCCAGCCGCCGCGGUAA